UCCUUCUUCCCCUCUCGCGCCGCACAUGCCUCUUUCCCUUUUCCUCUCACCUUCUCUCUGUCACGCCGGAAAGCUCGACUUCCGGAUGUCUACUUUUGACACUGCCACCACCAAAAGAUAGCCUAGGCGACGGAGAACAAAACCCAGCCACCUCACCCUCGAUCGAGAUGACCAGACCAUCGCACCCAACCCCUAAAACUACGACGUCGCUGUUCCUUAACCUCUUCGAUCUUCUCUCCAGGUUCGCAGCUCUUCCAUCCUGUCACCGUGCCCUUGGACCUCAGCCUGCGCGGCAACGCCGUCGACUUGCCUGAUUUUUGCUUUCGAGUUUAUAGGUGUUGUGAAAAUUGGGAAUUUUGAAUGUUUGGGCGGGGUGGAUUGGUGUAGUGGGUUCUUUGAUGGAUUGGUGUUGCAGGGGAAUCACAAAUUGGAUAAAAGAUAAAGCCAUUGGCUCACAAAAGUGUACAAGAUUCAGUUAACCAACUGCUAAUAAUUCAUCGAAGCUGGGGAUAGAACAGUGACCAAGAACAGGAAGAGAAGCUACGCUCAGCUUCAUUUAGAUUUGGGUUAGUCUUGUUGUCUCAGAUGAAAAACUGGAAAGCACAUGGGUGUUUAUGCAGAUAUAUGUAAUGACACAAUUGAAGAAGCUGAAAAGUUUUUGGGUCAACCUUUACAUUUGUUGUUCUCAUUUACACUGAUUGUACUGAUGGAACAUCCCUUGGAAGCUCAUUGUCACCUCCUUUCCCUGGUCCUUGCACACUCAGAACAGCAUUGGCACCUAAAAAGUGUGAUUUGUAAAACCCACCUAAAACGUGGUCUAAGUCCAAUCGGCAAAAUUCACAAAGGUGUGUUCCUUCUGGAUGAAGGUAAAAUGUGUAAAUCAAUAUGCAAGGUGGUCUUUUGGCAUGUCAAUACUGUUUUCAUAAAGCUCUUGAUAAGUUCCGUCUUCUAUGACAUGUAUACUGCAACUUGCUAUGAAAAUAGUUGACUGGAAUUUUUUCUUGUGAUUGAUUAAAUACUGCAACUUGCUAAAUUCGUUUUGGCCUGUAAUUAAAAAGACCGAGGAUUUCCAUUUCUUGGUACUUAUUAUGAACUUAAGCUUUAAGGUUAUUUAUUCUUUCUGGUAUGUCAUUGGGGGUCAAAUAAACUUAAGCUUUAAAGACCGAGGAUUGAAUAAAUAUGCAAGGUGGUCUUUUGGCAUGUCAGCCUUAAGAAGCUGAAGAUAAUUAUAACCAAGAACAUAUGAAUGCUCAAUACUAAGAGAAAACCUAGAAAUUCCAGAAAA